UCAAGCGCGAAAAGGGCGUUUGGUGGAUGCCUUGGCAGUAAGAGGCGAUGAAAGACGUGAUACUCUGCGAUAAGCCAUGAGGAGCUGAGAAUAAGCUUUGAUCCAUGGAUCUCUGAAUGGGGGAACCCACUUGAUACUCUACUAUUGAAUGCCUUUUGGUGUUCACUAGUUGGGUAAACCAAGUACUUUCAACCUGAAUAUAUAGGGUUAAAAGAGCAAACCCGGGGAACUGAAACAUCUAAGUACCCGGAGGAAAGGAAAUCAAUAUGAUACUCCCUUAGUAGCGGCGAGCGAACGGGGACCAGCCGAGCCAUGAGUGUGACUAGAAGCAGUUGGAAAGCUGCGCAAUAUGGGUGAUAGCCCCGUAUAGGAAGCAUGAUUGGACGUAUUAAGUAGGGCGGGACACGUGAAAUCCUGUCUGAACCUCGCAGGACCACCCUCGAAGGCUAAGUACUCCUUACUGACCGAUAGCGAACCAGUACCGUGAGGGAAAGGUGAAAAGCACCCCGACAAGGGGAGUGAAACAGAUCCUGAAACCGAACGCCUACAAACAGUUGGAGCCUCCUUGAGGGGUGACAGCGUACCUUUUGUAUAAUGGGUCAACGACUUGGUCUCACUAGCAAGCUUAAGCCGAUAGGUGUAGGCGCAGCGAAAGCGAGUCUUAAUAGGGCGAAUGAGUUAGUGGGAUCAGACCCGAAACCGAGUGAUCUAGGCAUGAGCAGGUUGAAGGUGCAGUAACAUGCACUGUAGGACCGAACCCACAUCUGUUGAAAAAGCUCGGGAUGACUUGUGCCUAGGGGUGAAAGGCCAAUCAAACUCGGAGAUAGCUGGUUCUCCGCGAAGUCUAUUUAGGUAGAGCGUCAGACGAAUACCACCGGGGGUAGAGCACUGGAUGGGUAAUGGGGGCUUACAGCCUUACUGAUCCUAACCAAACUCCGAAUACCGUAGAGUACUAUCUGGCAGACAGACGGUGGGUGCUAACGUCCAUCGUCAAGAGGGAAACAACCCUGACCUACAGCUAAGGCCCCUAAUUCAUGGCUAAGUGGGAAAGCAUGUGGGACGACCAAAACAACCAGGAAGUUGGCUUAGAAGCAGCCAUCUUUUAAAGAUAGCGUAACAGCUCACUGGUCUAAUCAAGUUGUCCUGCGGCGAAGAUGUAACGGGGCUCAAGCCAUGAGCCGAAGCUUAGGAUGCAGCAAUGCAUGGUAGCGGAGCGUAGUGUGACAUAAUCUCAUUCCUUUUUACCCCGGAUCUGAUCCGGGGCCUGGAGGAGAGAGGUUUUCUGUGAAGCCGGCCUGUGAGGGAUCCGGUGGAGAGAUCACUAGCGAGAAUGAUGACAUGAGUAGCGACAAACAGGGUGAGAGACCCUGUCGCCGAAAGUCCAAGGGUUCCUGCUUAAAGCUAAUCUGAGCAGGGUAAGCCGACCCCUAAGGCGAGGCCGAAAGGCGUAGUCGAUGGGAAUCAGGUUAAUAUUCCUGAGCCAGAAGGAUGUGACGGAUCGAAAGCGUAGUUUUCCCUUAUUGGAUUGGGAGAGCUGCCGGACGGUUCCUGGAAAUAGCCCUUCAUUAAGAUCGUUCCCUAAACCGACACAGGUGGACUGGUAGAUUAUACCAAUGCGCUUGUGAGAACUGCAUUGAAGGAACUCUGCAAAAUGCCUCCGUAAGUUCGCGAGAAGGAGGCCCCAUCAGGACGCAAGUCUUGGUGGGGGGCACAGACUAGGGGGUGGCGACUGUUUACUAAAAACACAGGGCUCUGCGAAGUUGUAAAACGACGUAUAGGGUCUGACGCCUGCCCGGUGCCUGAAGGUUAAAUGGAGGGGUGAGAGCUCCGAAAUGAAGCCCAGGUAAACGGCGGCCGUAACUAUAACGGUCCUAAGGUAGCGAAAUUCCUUGUCGGGUAAGUUCCGACCUGCACGAAUGGCGUAACGACUUCCCCGCU
rnacentral:rRNA from 1 species